rnacentral:rRNA from 1 species
GAUUCGUCACACUAUCAUUAACUGAAUCCAUAGGUUAAUGAGGCGAACCGGGGGAACUGAAACAUCUAAGUACCCCGAGGAAAAGAAAUCAACCGAGAUUCCCCCAGUAGCGGCGAGCGAACGGGGAGGAGCCCAGAGCCUGAAUCAGCAUGUGUGUUAGUGGAAGCGUCUGGAAAGGUGCGCGAUACAGGGUGACAGCCCCGUACACAAAAGCGCAUGUGCUGUGAGCUCGAUGAGUAGGGCGGGACACGUGGUAUCCUGUCUGAAUAUGGGGGGACCAUCCUCCAAGGCUAAAUACUCCUGACUGACCGAUAGUGAACCAGUACCGUGAGGGAAAGGCGAAAAGAACCCCGGCGAGGGGAGUGAAAAAGAACCUGAAACCGUGUACGUACAAGCAGUGGGAGCACAGGUUUACCUGUGUGACUGCGUACCUUUUGUAUAAUGGGUCAGCGACUUAU